rnacentral:rRNA from 1 species
UACGGAGGGGGCGAGCGUUGUUCGGAGUUACUGGGCGUAAAGCGCACGUAGGCGGUGCGGUAAGUCAGGGGUUAAAGGCUGCAGCUCAACUGCAGUAAGGCCUUUGAUACUAUCGUGCUAGAGUGUGAGAGAGGAUGGCGGAAUUCCCGGUGUAGCGGUGAAAUGCGUAGAUAUCGGGAGGAAGGCCGGUGGCGAAGGCGGCCUCCUGGGCCUGCACUGACGCUGAGGUGCGAGAGCGUGGGGAGCAAACAGG